rnacentral:rRNA from 1 species
CCUACGGGUGGCAGCAGUGAGGAAUAUUGGUCAAUGGGCGCGAGCCUGAACCAGCCAAGUAGCGUGAAGGAUGACUGCCCUACGGGUGGUAACCUUCUUUUAUAAAGAAAUAAAGUGAGUCACGUGUGCCUUUUUGUAUGUACUUUAUGAAUAAGGAACGGCUAACUCCGUGCCAGCAGCCGCGGUACGACGGAGGGUCCGGUCGUUAUCCGGAUUGAUUGGGUGUAAAGGGAGCGUAGAUGGGUUGUUAAGUCAGUUGUGAAAGUUAGGGGCUCAACCGUAAAAUUGCAAUUGAUACUGGCAGUCUUGAGUGCAGUUGAGGUAGGCGGAAUUCGAGGUGUAGCGGUGAAAUGCGUAGAUAUCAGGAAGAACUCCGAUGGCGAAGGCAGCUUACUAAACUGCCACUGACAUUGAUGCUCGAAAGUGUGGGUAGCAAACAGGAUUAGAUACCCCGGUAGUC